AAUUUAAAUAGCUGCAGAAUUUUAACUGUACAAAGGUAGCAUAAUCAAUAGUUUUUUAAUUGAAAGCUGGAAUGAAGGAUUUGAUAAGGUAAAUAUUGUCUCAAAUUUAAUAAAAUUAGAAUUUUUUUUUUUGUUAAAAAGCAAAAAUAAAUUUAAAAGACGAGAAGACCCUAUAGAUUUUUAUUUUUUUUUUAAUAAAAAAAUUUAAAUAAAAUAAUAAUUUUUAUUAAAUAAAAAUUUGGUUGGGGAAAUUAUUAAAUUAAUUUAAUUUUAAUUUUAAUAUUAAACAAUAAUUAUUGGAAAUUUGAUCUUGAAUUUUUAAAUUAAUAGAAUAAAUUACCUUAGGGAUAACAGCGUAAUUUUUUUAGAGAGAUCUUAUUAAUAAAAAAGUUUGCGACCUCGAUGUUGAAUUAAGAUAAAUUUUAAUGAAGAAGUUAAAAA
rnacentral:rRNA from 1 species